AUGGCUGUCGUCAGCUCGUGUCGUGAGAUGUUGGGUNAAGUCCCGCAACGAGCGCAACCCUUGCCAUUAGUUGCUACAUUUAGUUGNGCACUCUAAUGGGACUGCCGGUGACAAACCGGAGGAAGGUGGGGAUGACGUCAAGUCCUCAUGGCCCUUAUGGGUAGGGCUUCACACGUAAUACAAUGGUCGGUACAGAGGGUUGCCAACCCGCGAGGGGGAGCCAAUCCCAGAAAGCCGAUCGUAGUCCGGAUCGGAGUCUGCAACUCGANUCCGUGAAGUCGGAAUCGCUAGUAAUCGCGGAUCAGGCAUGUCGCGGUGAAUACGUUCCCGGGUCCUUUGUACACCACCGCCCGUCACCACCCAUUGGGAGGUGGGUUAUUACCCAGAAGCAGGUANGCUUAACCNUUAAGGGAGGGCGCUUNCCCAACGGUAGGAUUCAUANCGGGGGAAU
rnacentral:rRNA from 1 species